GCGGAGGUUGCCAAGCCUGGUUAAAGGCGCAGGGUUCAGAAUCUCGUAGGAGUUCGCGAGUUCAAAUCUCGCCCUCCGCACCA
rnacentral:tRNA from 1 species